rnacentral:misc_RNA from 1 species
GAACCAUCUUAUUUAGUUUAUUCUACAAUGCAAAUAUAGAUUGGGUUAACAUGGUAUUUACAGAUAUAUUUGGCAAAAAAUUAUCCAGUGAACCCAGACUCAGCAUAGCACCGCAUAAAAUGCACAACAAAACAUGAUUACUUCAUACUGGGAAAAAAAAGGAGCAAAAGUUCAAUUCUUGACUACAAUCCUAGAGAAACCGUUCACAACUGCACAACACGUAUAUAGAUUAUUAUUUCGUCCAAGCAGUGUUCAGAAAACAUCGACUAACAGAUGGCAUAUUGAUUUGAAAGAUAUCCAUUGCUUAAAUUGCAACAAACAAUGAAUGCAAUGGCCUAUAAUAUAAAUCCAUAGAUUUCUCAAUAUUAUUCUUUUCCUUGACCGAGC